AGUGAACGCUGGCGGUAGGCCUAACACAUGCAAGUCGAACGGCAGCACAGUAAGAGCUUGCUCUUACGGGUGGCGAGUGGCGGACGGGUGAGGAAUACAUCGGAAUCUACUUUUUCGUGGGGGAUAACGUAGGGAAACUUACGCUAAUACCGCAUACGACCUACGGGUGAAAGCAGGGGAUCUUCGGACCUUGCGCGAUUGAAUGAGCCGAUGUCGGAUUAGCUAGUUGGCGGGGUAAAGGCCCACCAAGGCGACGAUCCGUAGCUGGUCUGAGAGGAUGAUCAGCCACACUGGAACUGAGACACGGUCCAGACUCCUACGGGAGGCAGCAGUGGGGAAUAUUGGACAAUGGGCGCAAGCCUGAUCCAGUCAUACCGCGUGGGUGAAGAAGGCCUUCGGGUUGUAAAGCCCUUUUGUUGGGAAAGAAAAGCAGCAGGUUAAUACCCCGCUGUUCUGACGGUACCCAAAGAAUAAGCACCGGCUGACUUCGUG
rnacentral:rRNA from 1 species